AAUAGAUACCCAGGUAGUCCAUGCCGUAAACGUUGGGCACUAGGUGUGGGGGACAUUCCACGUUUUCCGCGCCGUAGCUAACGCAUUAAGUGCCCCGCCUGGGGAGUACGGCCGCAAGGCUAAAACUCAAAGGAAUUGACGGGGGCCCGCACAAGCGGCGGAGCAUGCGGAUUAAUUCGAUGCAACGCGAAGAACCUUACCAAGGCUUGACAUGUGCCAGACCGCCUCAGAGAUGGGGUUUCCCUUCGGGGCUGGUUCACAGGUGGUGCAUGGUUGUCGUCAGCUCGUGUCGUGAGAUGUUGGGUUAAGUCCCGCAACGAGCGCAACCCUCGUUCCAUGUUGCCAGCACGUAGUGGUGGGGACUCAUGGGAGACUGCCGGGGUCAACUCGGAGGAAGGUGGGGAUGACGUCAAAUCAUCAUGCCCCUUAUGCCUUGGGCUUCACGCAUGCUACAAUGGCCGGUACAAUGGGUUGCGAUACUGUGAGGUGGAGCUAAUCCCUAAAAGCCGGUCUCAGUUCGGAUUGGGUCUGCAACUCCG
rnacentral:rRNA from 1 species